UACGAAGGGGGCUAGCGUUGUCCGGAAUCAUUGGGCGUAAAGCGCGUGUAGGCGGUCCGGUAAGUCCGCUGUGAAAGUCGGGGGGCUCAACCCUCGGAUGCCGGUGGAUACUGUCGGGCUUGAGUACGGAAGAGGCGAGUGGAAUUCCUGGUGUAGCGGUGAAAUGCGCAGAUAUCAGGAGGAACACCAAUUGCGAAGGCAGCUCGCUGGGACGUUACUGACGCUGGAGACGCGAAAGCGUGGGGAGCAAACAGG
rnacentral:rRNA from 1 species